UACAGAGGUGGCAAGCGUUGUUCGGAAUUACUGGGCGUAAAGGGCUCGUAGGCGGCCAACUCAGUCGGACGUGAAAUCCCUCGGCUUAACCGGGGAACUGCGUCCGAUACUGGAUGGCUUGAGUGUGGGAGAGGGAUGCGGAAUUCCAGGUGUAGCGGUGAAAUGCGUAGAUAUCUGGAGGAACACCGGUGGCGAAGGCGGCAUCCUGGACCACGACUGACGCUGAGGAGCGAAAGCCAGGGGAGCAAACGGGG
rnacentral:rRNA from 1 species